rnacentral:lncRNA from 1 species
GCGCCCCAAGGAGGGACGCGGGGGUGCAGUCGCGGCCCAUUAUCUGUGCCCGGGAAGUCCUGAAGGCUCUAGGAGCUGUCAGAUUAAACCCCCAGACCCACAAGAAAAUCCCUGAAGCUUCGUUGACUUUUGCUGAUGGAGCCUCUCUGAAGGGCAAAUUCAAAGUACAGCUGGGUGCUGCAGCACUGGAGUGCGAACUUGUGGCUGUGGUUAUGAAGGAGCCUCGUCAGCUAUGCCUUUAGCCCCUGGUGAAGCAGUGCCAGUCACACUUUGCCAGUCAAACGGAGAGGCAGCAGUAGUAAGACCAGACCAAAUCAAACCAAACCAAGCAAACCACGGGGAAUGGAGGUAGGUGAAUAGCGCCAAAGAGAAUGAUGGCUCACAACACUUCUAAGCAUGGUGCAUAUAUCAGUUCAUUUAAGCCUUAUGAUGACCCUAUGGGGUCAGUACUAUUAUCGUUAUUAUCCCCAACUGAGGCACAGAACAACUGUGUGACUAAGCGACUGUACUCAAUGUCACACCACUGU